GACAGAGGAGCCAAGCGUUGUCCGGAUUGACUGGGCGUAAAGCGCACGCAGGCGGAUGCGCGCGUGGGGUGUGAAAUCUGGCCGCUUAACGGCCAGGCGCCAUCCCAUACGGCGCGUCUGGAGUGAUGCAGAGGUCGAUGGAAUUGCCGGUGUAGUGGUGAAAUGCGUAGAGAUCGGCAGGAACACCCAGGGGGAAACCAGGUCGACU
rnacentral:rRNA from 1 species